GUGGCGAACGGGUGAGUAACACGUGAGCAAUCUGCCCCUGACUCUGGGAUAAGCGCUGGAAACGGCGUCUAAUACUGGAUACGAACCGUGGAGGCAUCUUCAACGGUUGGAAAGAUUUUUUGGUCAGGGAUGAGCUCGCGGCCUAUCAGCUUGUUGGUGAGGUAAUGGCUCACCAAGGCGUCGACGGGUAGCCGGCCUGAGAGGGUGACCGGCCACACUGGGACUGAGACACGGCCCAGACUCCUACGGGAGGCAGCAGUGGGGAAUAUUGCACAAUGGGCGCAAGCCUGAUGCAGCAACGCCGCGUGAGGGAUGACGGCCUUCGGGUUGUAAACCUCUUUUAGCAGGGAAGAAGCGAAAGUGACGGUACCUGCAGAAAAAGCGCCGGCUAACUACGUGCCAGCAGCCGCGGUAAUACGUAGGGCGCAAGCGUUAUCCGGAAUUAUUGGGCGUAAAGAGCUCGUAGGCGGUUUGUCGCGUCUGCUGUGAAAUCCCGAGGCUCAACUUCGGGUCUGCAGUGGGUACGGGCAGACUAGAGUGCGGUAGGGGAGAUUGGAAUUCCUGGUGUAGCGGUGGAAUGCGCAGAUAUCAGGAGGAACACCGAUGGCGAAGGCAGAUCUCUGGGCCGUAACUGACGCUGAGGAGCGAAAGGGUGGGGAGCAAACAGGCUUAGAUACCCUGGUAGUCCACCCCGUAAACGUUGGGAACUAGUUGUGGGG
rnacentral:rRNA from 1 species